UCAAGCAUCUUUACUCCUAGCAGCCUGGUAUACAAGCUGAAUGGGAGGAGGACAUAAUGCAACUCGGUUGUACCUUAUAAAAAAUAAACCCCUCUGUUCUGAUGAAUUAGACCACACGCCUUCAAGAGCAAGGGACUGUCUUUAUCACGGUCUUUUGUACUGGACACAUGAAUAAGAAUUGAUGACAGGUGGACCAUUCCCAAUUCACUAUCUGAGCUCCCUGCCCCAAGUUUAGGGGGGUAGAUGUAACAUUCGGAUCCAGGGGGAUGGGGAAGGUUUAUAAUUUGUAUGUUAUUUGGAUUGCAGUACCAGCCAGUCCCCACUAUGCUAAGUACUUUACAAACACAACAGGUGUCUAGAGGCCAGCGUGUCUAGAAAAGUCUAGGUUCCCAUUGUGCUACUCAGCACACAUGCAUCGCAGGACAGGGCUCUGUGGAGCUGCAAUUCGAUUCAUACUCUCAGAUUUUCAGGGGUUUAAUCUGGAUCAUUAAGAAAGAGGACUUGUUUUUUAAAGAAAGAAAUGGAGUUUGGAAAAAGCAUUCCUAAGAGAAAUGGGUGUGUGUGUGGGGAGGAAGGGGGGCACCCUCCUUGAGAAACACUCAGGUAAAAGUGGUGUCAAAUUAUUUGCCAAUAGCUCCUCUCGUUUGGGGUAUAAAAGACUCCCCCAAAAAAGGACCACACAAUAAAAGGAAAGCCUGUCUGAAGUACUGUGUUUUGCACAUUGUUAAACUGAAGCAAUCUGUUCUAGUGAACCCUUUUCAAAGAGGCCAUUUCUGUGUGAAAAAGCCAGUUCUGUGGAGCUGGAAGGCAUACAGCUGUAGACAGCUGUGGGGCUGGUACUGUUACAGAAUCAUUUUAAGAGGGAAUUCUGGCAUGCCGACGGGAGGCCCAAGAAGGGUUGCUCGGCUGCAAAGUACAGUUUGCUUCUGUAUUCGCUGGGAUGCAUUCACCUUCCUUUGCUGCUCAAUCUAACAAAUAGGGAGCUUGUUGAAGCUAAAUUAGUCAGAACUGGAGUCUUUUUUUUUUUUAAUAAUUCUAAUCUUUUUUUUUCUUCAAAAAUUCCCUCCGGUGACCUCUUUCUCCUGGCAACCUUCCAAAUCAUUCCAAGGAUUCUACUGCACUGUCGGUAUCACCCUGUGCAUGGUAUGAAUAAAUCCACCACUCCCCAGUGCUCAAGGAGAAUUCUGCUGCUCCAUGUGUUUCUAAAUCGUUCCACACUUUCCUCUGAGGACAAGCCAAUACCAAAAGGGUGCAUCUGUUCUGUACUCUUGCUCUUUCCAACAAUGUAAAACCACACACAUUGCUAUUAUUAAUUAUUUGUAUUACGGUGGUGGCUAGAACCCCAUUUGAGAUCCUCUCAAAGCAGCAAAAUGAGGAGGGAGCCAGGGGCCAGGAGCUGGUCCACCAUGUCAAAAAUGCUUAUUUGUAUAAAACCAGAAGGGUUCUUUAACCACCUAAUGCCAGUGAGGAAUAUCACCAGGUGCCUGGCUAAUUAAGGUGAACCGGGGCAGUAGCAGUGCUACGUUGAAAGACUGCUACGUGAGGUUGUCUGAACAGUUGAAAACUAUUGUGAAGAGCAAACAUCAAGCCAAAUCACCUUUCCCGUACUAAGGGCAACUAGUCCACAUGUUUUGCAGCGCCAAUGUAACACCGUUGUCCUGGUGGGUCACUGGCACAGGGAUCAAACCUGAUACUCAGAAUCUGAUCUAAAAGUGUAUGCCUCUACUACAUGAGCUAAAAGUGUGUAGUUGUCUUAGUCCCCGGAUAUUAGAGAGACAAGCUAAAUGUGUCCAGCUACCACUAAAGGGGGAGACAAAGUGUGAGUUAUAAUAACAUGACACUUCACUUCAUUGCUGGUAUCUGAACGUCCGUGAGGCUCAGGGCAGGAAAGAGCCAACAUGGUAGCCAUGUGUGUGAACACUAUCCACUUGGGAUUGGGGUGUUUGCAAUGAUGUGAGUGAGGGAGACAAGUGGAGAGCUUACCCAGCUGGGAAGGGAAGGAAGCAGGAGUGAGGAAAGAGUUUGGUCCAUGUUACAGAUGGUGCUGGAAGGACAAUUAUAGAAACUAAAUUAUUUGCCCUGCAUUUGGAGGGUUAAUGGGAUUUAAGCUUUCAUCUUCCCAGAAAACAUGCUGAAAACUUAGCCAAAGACAUAUUUAAACAGUUUGUUUGCUAGCAAAACAAUGCGAUUUGACUUUUGUUGCAUUGUUGUUGUUGUUGUUGUUGUUAAGAGGAACCUCAUAGGAAUUCUGUAAAAUUCUGCCCACAAAAGCAAUUUGUAUAAUUUUAA
rnacentral:lncRNA from 1 species